AAGGCAGGGAGCUCUGCGUCUGAGUUCAUCGAGCUCAUCUGCCACACAAAAAAGACAUACGGAAGAAAGGGAAUCUCCAGGGUUUAACCUUUACCGCUCGAAACACAAUCUCGCUGUCGAGAUCUCACGAUCGUCACAACCGACAAGCAACAAAACUCAACGGUCCUGGAGAAACGAACGGCUAAAUACGAGCAGUCGGAAUCGAUCACCUGAGGAGGAGUGUCUCAGUUCCAGACUUACAAAUCACACUUGAAUGCUCACUAAUCACUUGUGAGUUUAGAAUUAUUUUCAAAUAUUUCAUGUGGAUGCUCUGACAAAUGUGAGCUCUUGCAUGAAACAAGGGAAAAAGGCAAUCUGGAAGUGCUUUACAAACUAUGCCAAACCACAUGUCCACACACAGCUUCUCUUCCAAUAGAACUAAGACUGCCUGAUAAAACUAAACAGUGAAGUCUACUUUGAUAUAGUUAUGUAUGACACUCAGCAUCAUCCUGACAAGACAAACAACAUAAGUGACAAGAAGUAACAUUCCCA